AUAAAGGCAACUGGAAAAUUACACGUACUAUAGGGGGACCUCAAGUACCACAAAUACUCCCAGUUACUUUAAUUCACCAAGCAAAUUUUGAUAUAGCAGCCAACAGGAUCAGAAAACGUCACACGCUGCAGAGACACUCCCACCUGCAACUCUUCAUCUCUCUGUAACUACACUAACAGAUUUAUGAGAGUCUCCAAACACCAGAACAUGGACAUUAUCAAACAUGGUCUCUUCAGCUUUUUAUUAUUUCUGCUCUGGAUGAAAGGUCUUAUUGAUGGGAGUGAUGUCACCCAGACUGACAUACUGUGGAUACACCAGGGUGAAAAUGCAAACAUUAACUGCAGUCACACCAAAGGUGGCGGCUAUUACCAGAUGUACUGGUACAGACAGCUACCAGGGCAGAGGAUGAAGGAAAUAGUUUUCACGACUACAACUCCUCCACCUAAGUAUCAAAGUGGCUUCAGUGAAGAAAAAUUCCCAGCAACAAAGAACAAUGCUGAGACUGGAUCUUUGACAGUGAAGAAGCUGCUGUCUGAGGACAGUGGAGUGUAUUUCUGUGCUGUGAGUGAACACAGUGAUACAGGUGACUCAGACAGCUGUACAAAUACCCAUGUGAACAAAAGAUAACAGUUUCUUUGAUAGACUACAGAGGGAGCUCUAGACAAACACUGAUAUGAUAUCUAACUAUUUGCAACUGCACUUCUAUAUUUUUGUUAAAAACCAGUAUCAUUUCUAACUGGAUCUUUCAUAAAACAAUUACUGCAUUAUGAACAACAGACUGUCAUUCACAUCAAGGGUUAAUGUAAAUUUAUUGCAUUGUGAGGACAAAAGUAACAUCCUCACUAAAACAAAUGCACUGUUUCCUCCAUUACAGCUAAAUUGCAAAAUUCAGACUCAGAGCUGUAUCUCUAAACACACAUAUUCUGCCGUUUUGUUGAGCCUGGGUUCCAGGGUUCACUUCAGGUCUUUCUUUCUUAUUUUGUUAUGUUGUUACUCACAUUCUAGUGCUUCCAUGCCAGUACAGAAAAACCUUCAAUAUUCUGUUUUAAAGAUCAUCACAUCAUGAAAUCUGUCUUUCUCAGUCUUGUCAGUGCUACAGAUCUGAUUUACAGGUAACAUUCAUGACAGUGAUGAACUAUAGGCGGACCUACACUUCCACUGAUCCUCCCACCUACACAGUGUUAAUGCAGAGACACCUGCAACUCUUCAUGUCUCUGUAACUAUGAGACUGGCAGUCUCUCUCUGUCAGAACAUGGAUAUCAAACAAGAUCUUCUCAUUUUGUCAGUGUUUUUGCUGUGGAUUACAGGUCUUACUGAUGGGAGUGAUGUCACCCAGACUGACAUACUGUGGAAACACCAGGGUGAAAGUGCAACAAUAAACUGCAGUCACACCAAGGGUGGCAGCUAUCUCCAGAUGUACUGGUACAGACAGCUACCAGGGCAGAGGAUGAAUGAAAUAGUUUUCACGACUACAACUCCUCCACCUAAGUAUCAAAGUGGCUUCAGUGAAGAAAAAUUCCCAGCAACAAAGAACAAUGCUGAGACUGGAUCUUUGACAGUGAAGAAGCUGCUGUCUGAGGACAGUGGAGUGUAUUUCUGUGCUGUGAGUGAACACAGUGAUACAGGUGACUCAGACAGCUGUACAAAUACCCAUGUGAACAGAAAAUAACUGUUUCUUUGGAUGGACUACAGAGGGAGCUCUAGACUAACACUGAUAUGAUAUCUAACUAUUUGCAACUGCACUUCUAUAUUUUUGUUAACAACCAGUAUCAUUUGUGGUAAUAGUGGCUGUGCAAAAGAAGGUUUCAACAUCUGACUGAGAAAUGUUUUUUACAGGGUUAAAAAUGUCACAAUGUGAAAUUAUGGGCAAUGAAUGUGACACCAUAUGUACUCUGUAAUCUAACCCAACAUGUUUAACAGACAUUUUGUUCCAGUUUUAAUUUUUUUUGGUUGGUUUCAAAGUGUGUUAAAUUAUAAUUUUAUUCUAUUCUAACUCCAUUAAACUUAAAUUUCUUGCAAAAUCUUGCCAGGAAUUAGUCAUUCUAUUUAAGCAUGAAAGUUAAUUCUUGACAAUAGAAACAGUACCAAGACAAAAUAAUUUUAACUCAACGUCAAGAAACAGCUAGCAAGUGGACUGAGACUUAGUCAAACUUUGUUAUUAUUCCUUAAAUCUCAACUGAAGUGUUCAAACAUCACCAAACACGUGUUAACAUGUAAAAUAGUUUAUAAGAACAAGCUAACAUACAGCAGAACAAAAACAACAAUGACCACAUUUAAAACCAUUGUGUAGCGUAAUUAAGCAUGUAUAACUAAUGUUACAUGAGGGACAAAUCCAAGUAUGGUAGCUUAUAAUUGAUCAUUUCAUAGACAAACACUAGGCAACAACUAAGUCUAAGAUAGUCACACUGACAGAGGUGAGUGAUGUUUUUCAAUGCAGGGGUAAAAACAGGGCAAUAUUAUUAAUUACCACCAAUUGAAAAACACAAAAAUGGUUAGUCUAUGUCAGGAAGUCAGUAUCUACAUUCGUGUACAUACAAUAUUUAUGUUUUGUUAAUGAGAUCAGAAAUGACUAACUAAACCUUUCAUAAAACAAUUACUGCAUUAUGAACACCAGAUUGUCAUUCAUGUUACAGUAAAUUUAUUGCAUUGUCACGACAAAAGUAGUAUCCUCACAAAAACAAACAUAACUAAAACAAAUGCACGGUUUCCUCCAUUACAGCUAAAUUGCAAAAUUCAGACUCAGAGCUGUAUCUCUAAACAAACAUAUUCUGCUGUUUUGUUGAGCCUGGGUUCCAGGGUUCACUUCAGGUCUUUCUUUCUUAUUUUGUUUCCUCUCAUUUGGAGGCAGUAAAGUUUGUCUGUGGUGAGUAGUGGCAGUUCAGGAAGAGGAAAAUGCAUUAUGACACCACCCAACUAAAAAGAAAAAAAAAAGAUUUCGGAUAGGAGGUUGUACCCAGCUAUAGAGGUGUGAAUAUUCACUAGAACUGCACAUAGAGUGAUGAAAACACAGUACCAAAAACAAAGAUGUUCUUAUUUUCAGGCAUAAAAAACAAGAUGAUCAUCGUCUUCUGCAUAGCCCUUAAUGCCAUAGUGGUUUCAGGUUCCUCUCUCAGUGACAAGGUCCACCAGACUCCAGCUGACAUGUACAACACACCAGGAGAAACAGCCAAAAUCAGCUGUUCACACAGUGUUGACAACUAUGAUCGAAUCCUCUGGUACAAACAAUCAAAGGACAGACAG